CCUGGAUAUUUUCACUGUACUAAUGACGUAUGUGUACGCAACACUAGUCGGUGUGAUGGAUAUGAAAACUGUGAUUCUGAUGAAUUAAACUGUUCGAGUUGUCGUUUUGGUAGUUUUCUCUGCACCAACAAAAGAUGCGUCACUUCCUCUAAGAGAUGUAACGGGAAAAAUGAUUGUGGCGAUAAUUCAGAUGAAAUUAACUGUUUGAAGUGCAAAGAUUAUACCUUUCUCUGUGGGAACAAGACAUGUGUUAAACGAUGUAAUGGUGUUAACGAGUGUGGCGACAAUUCAGAUGAACUCAACUGUUUACAGUGUGACUACUCCAGUUUCCACUGUAAUAAUAAUAAAUGUAUCGAACGUAGUAAAAAAUGUAAUCAUCUUGAUGAUUGUGGAGAUAACACAGAUGAAAGUAACUGU